rnacentral:rRNA from 1 species
UACGGGGGGGAGCAAGCGUUUGUUCGGAUUUACUGGGCGUAAAGGGCGCGUAGGCGGCGCGGUAAGUCACUUGUGAAAUCUCUGAGCUUAACUCAGAACGGCCAAGUGAUACUGCAGUGCUAGAGUGUGGAAGGGGGCAAUCGGAAUUCUUGGUGUAGCGGUGAAAUGCGUAGAUAUCAAGAGGAACACCUGAGGUGAAGACGGGUUGCUGGGCCAACACUGACGCUGAGGCGCGAAAGCCAGGGGAGCAAACGGG